UAGUGCAGAGGUUAGCAUGUCUGCCUAUGACGCUGAACGCCUAGGUUCGAAUCCUGG
rnacentral:tRNA from 1 species